GAUCCUGGCUCAGGAUGAACGCUGGCGGCGUGCCUAACACAUGCAAGUCGAACGGACUUACAUUGAAGCCUAGCGAUAUGUAAGUUAGUGGCGGACGGGUGAGUAACGCGUGGGUAACCUGCCUUGUACUGGGGGACAACAGUUGGAAACGACUGCUAAUACCGCAUAAGCGCACAGCUUCGCAUGAAGCAGUGUGAAAAACUCCGGUGGUACAAGAUGGACCCGCGUCUGAUUAGCUGGUUGG
rnacentral:rRNA from 1 species